rnacentral:rRNA from 1 species
GACGGAGGGUGCAAGCGUUGUUCGGAAUUACUGGGCGUAAAGCGUACGUAGGCGGCGGAUUAAGUCGAAUGUUAAAGCCUGGGGCUCAACCCCAGAGAUGCAUUCGAUACUGGUCUGCUAGAGGGUGAUAGAGGAAAGCGGAAUUCCCAGUGUAGCGGUGAAAUGCGUAGAUAUUGGGAGGAACAUCAGUAGCGAAGGCGCUUUCUGGGUCACACCUGACGCUGAGGUACGAAAAGCGUGGGGAGCAAACGGGG